GAUGAACGCUAGCGGAAGGCUUAAUACAUGCAAGUCGAGCGGUAGGUGGCUUCGGCCAUUGAGAGCGGCGCACGGGUGAGUAACGCGUACAUGACCUGCCUGUCAGAAGGGGAUAGCCCUGGGAAACUGGGAUUAAUACCCUAUGGUAUUGAUAUUAUGAAUGAUAUCAAUUAAAGUUGAGGCGCUGACAGAUGGAUGUGCGUCUAAUUAGCUAGUUGGUAGGGUAACGGCCUACCAAGGCGACGAUCAGUAGGGGGCGUGAGAGCGUGGUCCCCCACACGGGUACUGAGACACGGACCCGACUCCUACGGGAGGCAGCAGUAAGGAAUAUUGGUCAAUGCCCGCAAGGGUGAACCCAGCCAUUCCGCGUGGAGGAUGAAGGCCCUAUGGGUUGUAAACUUCUUUUAGAUGGGGAGAAAAUGCUAGAUGUAUCUGGUACUGACGGUACCAUCAGAAUAAGCACCGGCUAACUCCGU
rnacentral:rRNA from 1 species